AGAGAAUGUGCUUAGCAUAUGUGAAGCCCUGGGUUCAACCCCCAGCACCAAAAAGGGAAAAAAUGAGACAUAUAUGUUUAUUGACUUUUAAAUUGAAGGUUUUGAUCUGUGCACUUUUCUGUAUAUUUGCUAUAAUUGAAUAAAGUAAAUCAGUUAAGUCCCAUUUCUCCCCAAAUCUGAGCAUGGCAAAGCACCUUCCCAUACACUGGCAGAUACUUUGGAUAGGAUUUUGAGAACCAUGGGUUUCCAACUGUGAGGAUGGGAGACACCGCUCACCGCUGAGGUGGGAGUGUCAUGGUGAGAGCAGGGAGGAAGGGAGAGGAACAUAUUGAACACUGAGAGUCCCAGAUAAAGACCUAGAGCAGUACGGCGAACCUAUGGCAUGUUAUUGUGUUUUUCCUUUAAGACAAAAGAUGUUAAUGUAAAAUUGUUUUUUGUAAACUAAAACCUCAGUAUUCAGGUUUAAUUGCAGUGCUGGCACUUUGUGCUAAGUAAGCGGUUUUCAGGUUGCAGUCUGGCACUUGUCUCUAAACAGGUCGCCGUCAGGGCUCUGGAGUUACUGGCUGUGGGCUCCCCAGUGAAUACAGAGUCUCAUGGUCCACGAGUCCCUUUCACAGCACAGAUUUCCAUCUGUCCCUCAUGUACAACCAACACCCCACACCUCCAACCUGAGCUGGAGCCCAGGGCCUUGUGUACACUCACCAAUUUAUCACUGAGCUACAACUCAGCCCACUCUACUAAGUUUGGAACUCUCACUGGUUUUUUUUUUGUUUCUGAGACAAGGUCUUGCCAUGUAGCCCAGGCUGGCCUUGAACUCAUGGUGAUUCUCCUGUUUCAGCCUUCUGAGCGCUGGGAUUACAGAUGUAUGCCACUGUGCCUGGCUAUUCUCAAUGUUUACCACGAUCUCACAGCCAAGGAUCACCUAAAAGAGACUGAAGCAAAGCAGAGAAACAAAGUGCAACAAAGAAAAGACAUGAAGGUAGAUAGGAACAUUAAAAAUUAGGGGCUGUGGGCCAGGGAUUUAGCUCAGUGGUUCCUCUGCCUGCCUCAAAAGCGCAAGGUCCCAAGUUCGAUCCUUGGUACCAAAAAAAAAAAAAAUUAGGGGCUGGCAGUGUAGCUCAGUGGUGGAGGACUUACUUGCCCAACUAGUGUAAGAUCCUGGGUUCCAUUCCCAAUACUCACCCACCUCCCCAAACCCCAAAUAUUCCCGGAAAGGAUCAUUCAUUCAUCCUUUCUCAAAGGUUACUUUUUUUUUUUUUUUGGUACCGGGGAUCAAACUCGUGUCCUUGUGCUUCCGCAGCAGGCAGCGAAACCACUGAGCUAAAUUCCCAGCCCUCAAAGGUUACUAUUAGGUGCCCUAUGUCCCAAGCAUGGUUAACUGCUUGGAAUAUCAGUGAUGUAAACAAAAAU
rnacentral:lncRNA from 1 species